AUUGAACGCUGGCGGCAGGCCUAACACAUGCAAGUCGAGCGAGCGGCGGACGGGGGAGGAAUGUCUGGGAAACUGACCGAUGGAGGGGGAUAACUAAUGGAAACGGGAGGUAAUAACGGAUUCCAUCAGAUGUGCCCAGAUGGGGUUAGCUAGGAGGUGGGGUAACGGCUCACCUAGGCGACGAUCCCUAGCUGGUCUGAGAGGAUGACCAGCCACCCUGUAACUGAGACACGGUCCAGACUCCUACGGGAGGCAGCAGUGGGGAAUAUUGCACAAUGGGCGCAAGCCUGAUGCAGCCAUGCCGCGUGUGUGAAGAAGGCCUUCGGGUUGUAAAGCACUUUCAGCGGGGAGGCGUUACCCGCAGAAGAAGCACCGGCUAACUCCGUGCCAGCAGCCGCGGUAAUUC
rnacentral:rRNA from 1 species